rnacentral:lncRNA from 1 species
GAGGCUGUAGUCAUGUCCCCAUCCCCCACUGGAUUCCCUACAAGGAGAGGCCUUGGGCCCAGAUGAGCCAGUACAGACUCCAGACAGAGGGGCCCUUGGGGCCCUCCAACCUCAGGUGAUGAGCUGAGAAAGAUGUUCACGUCUAAGCGUCCAGUGUGCACCCAGCGCUCCAUAGACGCCUUUGUGAACUGAAAAGAGACUGGCAGAGUCCCGAGAAGAUGGGGCCCUGGCUUUCCAGGGAGUGCAGCAAGCAGCCGGCCUGCAGGUGAGCAUGGAGGCCCGGCCCUCACCGCCUCGAAGCCAUGCCCCAGAUGCCACUGCCACAGCGGGCGCUCGCUCCUCCCUAGGCUGUUUUAGUAUUUGGAUUUGCAUUCCAUCCCUUGGGAGGGAGUCCUCAGGGCCACUAGUGAUGAGCCAAGAGGAGUGGGGGUUGGGGGCGCUCCUUUCUGUUUCCGUUAGGCCACAGACUCUUCACCUGGCUCUGAAGAGCCACUCUUACCUCGGUCCCCUCCCAGUGGUCCCACCUUCUCCACCCUGCCCUGCCAAGUCCCCUGCAUGCCCACCGCUCUCCAUCCUCCCUCCUCUCCCUCUUCCUCCCGUGGAGACAGUAUUUCUUUCUGUCUGUCCCUUUGGCCCAGACCCAGCCUGACCAACGAUGAGCAUUUCUUAGGCUCAGCUCUUGAUACGGAAACGAGUGUCUUCACUCCAGCCAGCAUCAUGGUCUUCGGUGCUUCCCGGGCCCGGGGUCUGUCGGGAGGGAAGAGAACUGGGCCUGACCUACCUGAACUGACUGGCCCUCCGAGGUGGGUCUGGGACAUCCUAGAGGCCCUACAUUUGUCCUUGGAUAGGGGACCGGGGGGGGCUUGGAAUGUUGCAAAAAAAAAAGUUACCCAAGGGAUGUCAGUUUUUUAUCCCUCUGCAUGGGUUGGAUUUUCCAAAAUCAUAAUUUGCAGAAGGAAGGCCAGCAUUUACGAUGCAAUAUGUAAUUAUAUAUAGGGUGGCCACACUAGGGCGGGGUCCUUCCCCCCUCACAGCUUUGGCCCCUUUCAGAGAUUAGAAACUGGGUUAGAGGAUUGCAGAAGACGAGUGGGGGGAGGGCAGGGAAGAUGCCUGUCGGGUUUUUAGCACAGUUCAUUUCACUGGGAUUUUGAAGCAUUUCUGUCUGAACACAAAGCCUGUUCUAGUCCUGGCGGAACACACUGGGGGUGGGGGCGGGGGAAGAUGCGGUAAUGAAACCGGUUAGUCAAUUUUGUCUUAAUAUUGUUGACAAUUCUGUAAAGUUCCUUUUUAUGAAUAUUUCUGUUUAAGCUAUUUCACCUUUCUUUUGAAAUCCUUCCCUUUUAAGGAGAAAAUGUGACACUUGUGAAAAAGCUUGUAAGAAAGCCCCUCCCUUUUUUCUUUAAACCUUUAAAUGACAAAUCUAGGUAAUUAAGGUUGUGAAUUUUUAUUUUUGCUUUGUUUUUAAUGAACAUUUGUCUUUCAGAAUAGGAUUGUGUGAUAAUGUUUAAAUGGCAAAAACAAAACAUGAUUUUGUGCAAUUAACAAAGCUACUGCAAGAAAAAUAAAACACUUCUUGGUAAC